rnacentral:rRNA from 1 species
UACGGGGGGAGCAAGCGUUGUUCGGAUUUACUGGGCGUAAAGGGCGCGUAGGCGGCGUGACAAGUCACUUGUGAAAUCUCCGGGCUUAACUCGGAACGGUCAAGUGAUACUGUCGGACUAGAGUACAGAAGGGGCAACUGGAAUUCUCGGUGUAGCGGUGAAAUGCGUAGAUAUCGAGAGGAACACCUGCGGCGAAGGCGGGUUGCUGGGCUGAUACUGACGCUGAGGCGCGAAAGC